GCCUUGUCUUUGCAGGAUCUACUGGGGCUGCUUCUACUUUUUUCCUUGGCUGCGAAUGUGGCGCAGGGAGCGGAGACCUUCUUGACAUAAAGGCAUGUCAGCUUCUGGCAGUACCCCAUUCUAUUUCAAAGAAGAUGAUGAGCAUCAAGAAUCUCCAACCGGAGUUUGCCUCAAUGUGGCAAGCUGCCACAGGGCAGAGAGUUGCCCAUAAUUCAACUACGGACAUAAUGCUGUUCAGAAAGGACAAACAGGCUCAGGGACAUCUGCCAAGCUCUGCCAAGAGAGGCCAGGGGACUUUCCCGAGAAGAAGCUGAGAAGCCAUGGGAGCUGCUCUCUAUCAUGAAAAGCCAAAGCUGGGUCCCCAAGCAGGGAAAUGUGCGGCAGCUCCUGUGUUUAGAUCCCAGCUGCCAAAUCUGUGAGGCUGCGACUGAAGAGAUUCAGCAGUUAGUGCAGAGUGAGAAAAGUCAGCUCUCCCCUGCUUUUUUGGGACUGAACCAGGGUUCUGCUCACUCUGCACACCUGGAGACGUUACCCAUGACUUUUGAACAGAAUAUGGAGCUCUGUUCCAGGCACACCAGACCUCAUCCACGGGUGCCUGGAAACCAAACACUAACACAACUAACGGGACACUUAACACAGUUGACCAACACAUUCGGGGUUCAAGAAUGCUGGACUGAUCGUCUCCAGCUAGACCAAAAUUUUCAUCUCGCCAACAUGCCCAUGGUCUCAGAGACUGUGAGUUCUUCAAGGCUCAAGGAACCUAUGGUUUUAAUGAUUGAGGAAACAAUAGUGCAAAGCAAAGCAAAGCUUGACCAGGAAAGCCAAGACCUUCAUCACAUGAAGCCCUCUGUGUCUUUACUACCCCUGGACCCAAGCUUGACACAUACUAUGUCCUUACAUAUGGACUCAAUGCUGUCUUCCCAUCUGCCAUUACUUAGUCCUAAAGUCCGUGGGCUUCUUGAACUACAGGUAAAAAAAUGCAUACAUUUCCAGAAGUGGGGUCUUCCGAGACGUGUGGAGGAGUCCCUGAGGCAGCUCAUGCCAGACCCAACAUUAUUUCGUCGAUCUCGAGAAAAUCCAUCUUCCUGCACUCUGAGCAGCAGUUCUAAGGUCAUUGAGGACAGAACUGGGAUCGUUUCCCACAAGACCAGCAGCUUGUAUUCGGCAGGCCAGCCCGUCCAGACCUUCUGGGUUUCCAAAUGGCCUGUUAUAAACCUGCAACAAGGAAGGCCCUGGCACCAAAUUCAUACUUGCUUGCCCUCUCAUGAAGGUGAACAUCUAAGGAAUUUCUAUCCACUCCCCAGGGCAAAAGCUAAUGACUCAGGGGACAAUCUUCAGAGUGAAUAUUAUAGCCAGUUAUUCUGUGGCCUUCCAUCUCUUCACAGUGAGUCCUUGGAUGUUACUUCCUUGAGUUCUCAAGGUACCUGCAAGAAAAGGGAUAUGUCCAAGCCCUCCACAGAUGCUCAGCCCUCAGGGGUACUCUCGGGCCUUUUCUUACCCAAAACACCAUGUAAGUCAGCCUUUCCCUCUUCCCCGACCUCUCUGAAUGGCAAGACUCCCUGUGAGCGUGAAGGAGCACAGAUUACUGUCCCGUUCCUGUCGCUGGCUGAGUGUGAAGCACUGGAACGCCACCUCCUAAAGAAACAACUCAGCAAGCUUCAGUGGGGCCUGCCAGCUCUCCUCCUCCAAAACCAGCGCUGAAUGCUGUGUGAAGCACCCAGUGAGGCUAAGACAGUAAAAACUUCCUUGGCAAGGAAGCCCUUUUUACAUCCCACCAGGGACAUCUUCCCAGAGCACGCAGGAAGGCUGCUGGAAUUCCACCUGCAGAAGCAGCUGAUUCACCUCCGCUGGGGGCUGCCCCAGAGGAUCCAGCGCUCCAUGAAUAUGCUGCUCUCCUCAACAGACCCACAGUCCCUGCCCUGUGGCAGCAGUAGCUUACCCAAUGUGAGCAUCUCACAGCCCGGGAAACCAGAGGCCAAUGGGCCUGGUGACAUGUUCUCACUCACAGCGGGCAAAGGGACAAUCCCCAUGCCACACUUGUUUGCCAAGACAAGGGAAAUGUUGAAAAGCCAUGUUGAUUCCAAAUGUGAACAGAUCCAGGAGGGCAAGGUCCCGGCCCAAGUCUGGAAAUCUUGGGAAUGCAAAAUUCCUGGAAGCUUAGCAACAGUGGCUCCCUUCCCUUGGAUUCCACAAGGCCAAUGCAGGAAGUUACAGGCAGAAAGUAAAAGUGACCCUGAAUUACUUCACAAAGUUGUUCCCUGGAAACCAAAGACCCUCAGCCAGGAGACACAAACCUUAUCUGGUACUCUCUUUGAACACUGUAAGAAGCCCCAAUCCCUACCUAAGGAAACCAUUAAGAAACUGGAGACAACUUUACAUCAUAAGUAUCUGGCCUUCCUGUCAGGCCUGCCUGCCCUUUACUGUGUAGCUCUCUCUAGGCCUGCAUCCCCAGCAGUCACUAGCCAACCUAGACUCAGAGAGAAGAUGCCCAAAGCUGUCAAAAGCCCAUCAAAUGCUCUGACUCAAAUAACCCCACUUGAGCCCUGCGCUCAGGAUGACAGUGGGGUGUCUGCGGACACUGCAGAAGAGUUCCAGCCUGGAGCAGAGGCAGACAGAAGGACAGAGAAGGUGCCUGCAGAGAGUCAGCCUCCCCCAUGCAGACCCUACCCAAUAAACACACAUAUCUUGGCCAAACUGAAUUUCCACCUGAAAAAAAAGAUCCUAGCAAUGCAGUUUGGGAUUUCUGAAAAGGAAAAGAGAGAAUACAAGGAGCUGGGUACAGCCGACCUAGAGAGCGAAUCCAUCCAGGAAUUUCUCAGAUGUCUACACAUGUCAGAGAGCACACUGCUUCAGGAACAGCCUGUCGCAUGCCCAUCUCUGCCAGCCCCAAAUGCAAAAGGGGUCCACCCUAAAAAACAGCCAGCUUCUGCAGUACAGGAUGUGUGUCAGGCGCAAAGGCCUCCUCCUUCCAAAGCAGUGCCCCAUAGUUCUGCCCAGCAGAGCUCCAAGGCCUCGCAAUCCCAAAGGGAUAAGACCCAAGUCUGUGUUGACAUGGAAGCUGGAGGGAAAAGGUUCAACCUAGAGAAAUCCAAAGUCGUGGGGGACCUUGGAGAAGGGGACGCAGGUCUUGGGUUUUCCCUGGUCGGUCAAAAGACACGCCAGGAUGGAGAGCAGGAGAAGAGGCUCCUGCACAGACCACUCCAGGGCUCCUCACAACAGGGUCACACCUUUCAUCUUGAGGAUGCCUGUCCACACAGUCCCCGGGUCUCACUAUGUAGCCCUAGCUGACUCAGAACUAACUCUGUAGGCAGGUCAACCUCUAACUCUAAGAGAUCUACCUGUCUCUACCUCCAGAGAACUGGAAUUAAUGGCAUACCACCAUGCUGACCCUUCUCCCUCCUUUAAAUCUGGUUUGUAACUUCU